GAUGAAGAACGUAGCGAAAUGCGAUAACUAGUGUGAAUUGCAGAAUUCCGUGAAUCAUCGAGUCUUUGAACGCACAUUGCGCCCCCUGGUAUUCCGGAGGGCAUGCCUGUUCGAGCGUCAUUAUCACCCCUCAAGCCCGGCUUGUUGUUGGAUGCAGCGCUUAUCCCGCUCCUCCCAAAGAUAAUGACGGCGUCUGCGACGACUCCUGUACACUGAGCUUUCGGGCACGUACACGGCUAGAAGUCCAGACCCGGUCGCCGUCCCCCCCGCGGGGACACCCAUUACCACAAGGUUGACCUCGGAUCAGGUAGGAAUACCCGCUGAACUUAAGCAUAUCAAUAAGCGGAGGA
rnacentral:misc_RNA from 1 species